UACGUAGGGGGCAAGCGUUGUCCGGAUUUAUUGGGCGUAAAGAGCGUGUAGGCGGCCAGAUAGGUCAGCUGUGAAAACUCGAGGCUCAACCUCGAGAUGUCGGCUGAAACCAUCUGGCUAGAGUCCGGAAGAGGAGAAUGGAAUUCCCGGUGUAGCGGUGAAAUGCGCAGAUAUCGAGAGGAACACCUGCGGCGAAGGCGGGUUGCUGGGCUGACACUGACGCUGAGGCGCGAAAGCUAGGGGAGCAAACGGG
rnacentral:rRNA from 1 species